rnacentral:lncRNA from 1 species
UCGGAACUUGUGGCUACGUAGCUCCAGGUGGCGUUUUCUUUUUUACUUGAUUUACUGACCUUUUCUCUGAACAUAUAGUUGAAUUUCUUCUUACUAAUUUGUGUAGGUAGAACUUGCUUAUACAAUGAUUGUCACCGAAAAAUGCGAUGUUUAUAGUUUUGGAGUGAUAGCACUGGAAACAUUAAUGGGAAAGCAUCCUGAAGAAGUGUUAUCAUGGUUGUCAUCACCAACUUCUUUGGUAAACAUGAAGCUGGUUGAUGUGUUAGACAACCGUUUACCACUUCCAACAAGUCAACUAGUUACACAAAAUCUUGUUCAUGUUGAUACACUGGCAUUCGCUUGCUUAAAUCCACAAACGAAGUCCCGACCAACAAUGAAGGAAGUGUCUGAAUGGUUCCUUUCUCGCCAUACAUCCUUGGGAAUUCCUCUUUGGAUGAUCUCUUUGUUACAACUCAUGAACCGUGAAAUGCAUAUUAAAGGCAAAACUAAAACUUGUGAUGUUUAAAGUCCAUGCGCUUGUUGAUUAGAUAUUGUUUAUCAUGCUCUGAUAAUUUGUUUGUAAACCAUCUCUGGUUUUAUAUAUGAUGGAAUGAAUUGCAAUGUUUAAUAAACCCGUUUAUUCGGUUGCUUUAGAAGACAUAAAUUCUACAAUUUGAUCCAAAUAUUAAGACAUCAUCGCUGGCUGCUUCCUUGAAUUUUGUGCUUCUUUCAAACCAACUCAAAGAUAAAUAACAUAAAAGUAAAUUAAGGGUGAAUCAAAGCAACAAAAUGCAAUCAAUACAUACAUCAAGAAUUCACCUCAGCUAUCUAUAAUUCAUGAAACAAUCUCUCAACUUAUAAAAUGUAAGUGAGACUCCACAGACCUGAUAUCCAAACUCAAAAGCAAUAAAAGGCGUCAUCAGAACCCUGGCAAGUGAAGACGACAAUCUUUUCAAGCAAGGUAGCGAUACAACUUCCUGUCACCUUUAUCCCUCUCCAGGAACUCCCGCUCAAUAAGGGACUCGAUCCGUUUCUUAAUUACAACGGGGUUGGGCAGAAACCGUGACUGUAGCUGUUUUGUGACCUCAGCAACAAUGUUGUUAUGAUCCAGCACACGCCUAGCUUUCAUGAUCCUCACGAUUGCUGCCUCAAUUUGCGGUUUUCGAUCUUCCUCCACUCUCUGCCUAGUUUCUUGAUUUUCAGGUUCCGACUCCCUUUGCGCAGCCACAGUGCCUAUCUUGACCUUGAAGAACUUGCUUGUAUACUUGUCAUUGAAAAGAAAGGUAUCAGUGUCUACUAUGUCCUUGCUCAUAGGUUCUUUCCGAAGCACAUUUUUUCCCUUAACACAGGCAAGAGACUGCAAGCACCUUUUCAAGUCAAAGGUAGGAAUCUCGGUCACCUGCUCAAUCUCCUUAUAGCUUAGUCGAUCAGCAUCGUUGAAGAGCAUAAGGACACACAUCUGGUAUGUGGAAACAUUCAGUUCAUGCUUCUGUCCCUUACCAAAGGUUGCCUUCAAAUCAGCUGUCCCCAUGUUAGUUUGCCAAGACAAUCUCCGUCCGGUAUGGGUACCUAGGUAAUAAUUACGGAAUUUCUCACAUAUUCCCAGAAUUUCAGCAGGAAGUUUGCAUGUAGUAAUAGGUUGAGUUGGCCAAGAUCCAGUUGUCAGAACCUGGACAGAAAGCAUGGGACCAUCCCCUAUAUCCGAACCAUGACUUGCAUGGAAACCUUGCAUCGUAUCUUGUGAUGUCUUCAUAUCUGUGAACAUACCCUCCAACUUUGAGGUGAAUUGAUACCCACACUCUGUUUUGAGCUUAACAAUCAAACUUCUUUCAGCAUCAUCAGAGACGGACUUCCCUGAAAGAAGCCUUUUGGCCAAGUGUUGUUUGUAGUACUUCUCGAAAACAUCUUUCUCUUGAAGGUAACGGAAGAGCAUCAUCACCUUGUCGAGUAACAAUUCCACAUCCUCUUCAGUAACCCCCCUCAAACCUUUUCGAAGCUUAUCAUCAACAAACAAAGAGAUGAACUCUGGAGACCGAGAAUUCAGAUUGAUGAAAUAUUCAAACGAGGAAUUUAAUGCAUUUUGAAAAGUCUUGUCAUUUCUAAAUGCUGAAGUGAUAAUCUUGUCGUAUUUGUCCUUUAAAUCCAACAGAUGUUGCACAAAAUCGACAGGAUCCUUCAGCCUUUCGGGAUCAGUGAGUAACUGCUUACCAGUAUCACGAAUGUAUGAAGUCAUGACAUCUCUGAUUAAAACAAGCCCAUUGGAUACUCGACGAAACAAGUAAUACAUCCUUCCUAAGUCCUCAUAUUUUUCAUCGACAAUCAUAUUAAUCAACCCCGAGUUCUCCAUUUGCACAAGCCUGUGCAUAUGACUUUCAAUCAUCUCCGUUUCUACCACAUUUGUUAUCUUGACUUCACUUCUGGUGUCCAAGUAAUGUGAGACUCUCUCUAUUUCUUCAUUUAGGCGUCUCUCGGCUUUCUUUAGAUACUCCCCACAAUCACAUUACAGUCAUCUUCUAACCCACAAUCAUUUGUGCUAUGAGCUUUUGGGCACUAUUCCGGAUAAAAUGGACGGAGGCAAGAUCGAGAUGGGCUAGUUGCGAGACACACUCCUGGAUCCGGAUGAAGAUUCAACCGAAAUAGAAAGAAUCCGAUAUGCUCGGGCAUACAUUCUUCAGUUAAUUGGAGGUUAUCUAAUGAUAGACUUGUCACGGAGCCGCGUACAUCUAAUAUGGCUGCUGAAACUCGUUGAUUUUAGAGCAGCUGGUGAAUUCAGUUGGGGGUCUACCGUCUUGGCCACAUUAUAUCGGGAGAUGUGCGGGGCGACGUGACCGAGGAGAGUAAAAAUCAGAGGUUGCCUGUCACUACUGCAAUCAUGGGCACGGUUUCGCUUUCCAUUUUUAUGUCCUCGAGUGGACCACCCAUAUACAUUCCCAUUCAUAACGAGGUAAAUUUUAUAUUAGAUUUUACAAUUAUUAUGUAGAUAUUUAAAAAUAAAAGUAUGCUAAAAGUUUAUUUAAUUAGGUGGAACCAUCCGGCAAGUCAUGCUCGAUUACCUACCGAACUUGAAAAUAUACGGCUUCUAUUAGACCAACAGUCGGAAGCACAUGUAAGUAUUAAAUAAAAUUGAUAUUUCCAUCAUUCGCUAGUCGAUUGGUAAAUAGUAUUUAGUAUUUAGUAUUUAGUAUUUAGUAUUAUGUAUAUAACUAAUAUUUCUAUAAUGUUCACAUAGUUUCAAUGGACACCAUACGAGGAUCCGGCAAUUUGGGCAAUAAUUCCGGAUGAGUUCUUACAAAAUCGAAACGCUUGGCACGUGAAAGUCGUGUUGAUCAACUACACGACCAUGGAGCCACACCAGUCAGACAGAGUGCUACGACAGUUUGGAUGUAGACAACUAAUUCCCGUGGAACCUGAGGUGUUUGACGAUCAACACAAAAUCGACCUUCGGCAAUUGAAUACGGAUUGGCCAAGAUACUGGUUCGAGUACAUGGAAAUGUGGGAAGAUCGGUAUGAAUACAUACCUACUCUGGAACCAAUCAUCGUUCCGGAGUUAGUGUGGGUGCUGGAAUACAUGUCAUGGUUUAGGAUUCAUGGCAAGCUGUAUUUACUGACGCCAGAGGAGAGGCAGCGGCAAUUACGUGUCCAAAGGGAAAGGCGCAGGCCUCAAAAUCCAAGACGACAAGACGACGACGCUAGCCCCUCAACGAGGCCUAGACAUUCACCCGGCCCAUCAUCAGAGGUCAUGCAAUCACUAGGCCCAACGAGAGUACCGACACAGUCACCUGACCCAGCAGUCCAACCGAUGAUACCCACGCAACCGCUUUUUCAGAUGAUGCCAGGUGCGUUUCCUAGCCUUUUUAUAUAUCCUAACCCUUAUAUGUAUCCUUUUCCGAGUCCUAAGGCAGGUUGGAGCCAAUGGCCCGGUUCAGCUCCGUUUCCUGUUACGCCGAGUGGACCGCCGAUGUAUAGGUCAGCAGCACACGAGGGAUCGCAAGAGGGGCCGUCGAGGAGCUCUUCUUUUUACCAAUCCCCACCACCGUAUGAGUUUCAAACACCGUCACCGUUGGUGAUGCAAAAACCUCCACAUUCACUAUUCUUUGAAGGUGGAUCAUCGUCCCAACUCCGACAACCAGAUACCCUACCAGAAGAACCAGAAUCCCCGCCACAGGAACCACAACCGCCACCGGAAGCUGGACAAAGGAGGCAUCCAGCGCGUAACCAUCGACGGCCGCCAUGUGGCACUGAAUCCAGCGGGCACAGACAUUGAUUUUUGUAUUUAAAUUUAUUUGUACAAAUAUUUUGAAUAUUUUGAUACUAUUUGAUGUAAUAAAAUAGAAAUUGUUUUGAGUUAUUACUUAAAACCCUAAACUAAUUUCUUAAAAAUUUAUAAAUCUAUAAUUUAUAAUUUAAUUGACAAACCUUAAACCCCAAAACUAAAAACCCUAACCCUAAUCAUAACCCUUAACUUAAAAACUCUAACCUUUAAAUUAAAAACACUAAACCCUAAACCUAAAAACCAUAAACCCUUAAGCUAAAAACCUAACCUUAGACCCUAACCAUUAACCUAAAACACUAACCUUAAACCCUAAACUCAUAAACCUAAAUACCCUAACCCUAAACCCUAAACCCUUAACCUAAAAACCUUAACCAUUAACCUAAGAACCCUAAACCCUUAACCUAAAAACCCUAACCCUCAACCUAAAAACCUUAAACCCUUAACCUAAAAACCCUACACACUAAACUUAAAACCCUAAACCCUUAACCUAAAAAUCCUAACCCUUAACAUAAAAACCUUAAACCCUUAACCAAAAAACCCUAUACACUAAACUUAAAACCCUAAACCUUAAAUCUAAAAACCCUAACCCUUAACCUAAAUUUCAUAAACCCUUAACCUAAAAACCCUAACCCUGAACCUAAAUUCUAUAAACCCUUAAUCUAAAAACCCUAACCCUAAACCUUAACCUAAAAACCUUAACCCUCAACCUAAAAACCCUAACCCUUAACCUAAAAACCCUAAAUGCUUAACCUAAAAACCCUAACCCUCAACCUAAAAACCCUAAACCCUUAACAUAAAAACUCUACACACUAAACUUAAAACCUUAAACCCUUAACCUAAAAACUCUAACCCUUAACCUAAAAACCUUCAACCCUUAAACUAAAAACCCUAACCCUCAACCUAAAAACCUUAAACCCUUAACCUAAAUUCCAUAAACCCUUAACCUAAAAACCCUAACCCUUAACCUAAAUUCCAUAAACCCUUAACCUAAAAACCCUAACCCUCAACCUAAAUACCCUAAACCCUUAACAUAAAAACCCUAACAUAAAGGCUUAAAAACUAUCCUUGUCCCUUAACUUAAAUAUAAUUUGAUAAUUUUACUAACCAUUAAUACAAUUAUCAGUUAAUAACUUUACAUUCACGUAAUGUUAGAUUUGGAAAAAUGUUUUGACUAGUACUAACAAUUAAUAAUUUUAUAUAAUUUUAUAAUUUUUCUAACAAUUAAUACAAUUAUCAAUUAAUAAUUGAAAAAAUAUAAUUAGCAGCAAUUACAUUCAACUAUUGCGAUUAGGGCAUGAUCGACUUGUAUGGCCUAGAUUCCUACACCAUCCGCACAACUUUUGUUGACUGGCUGUUUCUCGGAUAGCCAUAUUGUUGCGUAUUCUAGUCGAGCAAGGUCGACCCCUUGGUUUGCGACGCAAUUUUCUAUCCAGUAACAGCUUAAAAUGAGCAAGAGAUACGGGCAGCCACUUACGUUCAUCUGGGGCCAGUGGGAAAACGUGUCUCUAGAUGUUGUACAUGUUUUCUAAUUUGUACACUUCGUCCACAUAGCUCAUCGGAUCCAGACGGAGAUUCUGACAAGAUACAAUAACAUGAGAGCAUGGAUAACAAAGUGCAUCAAAACUCUCACGGUCGCAAGUCCUAUUUCGCAAGUCUACAUGAUAUUGCCCACCAACAACACUUUGGAGCGGUCUAUCAAACUCUGUCACGCGAAACAAUAAGUUGUCUCAAUCGUGACACACGGUGUGCAUGGUGUUUGCCCGCGCCUUGGCCUUGUGAAUUUCUUAAACUACCUUGCUGCACCAUACAUGGCCUCUCUGCAUCUGGCCUGCAUAACUUGCUGCUCGCUUUGGAAAUAGUGCCACCAAACGAAAAUAUGUCUCUCGCACAACUGAUGUUAUCUGUAGAUGACGCAUUUUUUUAAGAACAGAAUUUAUGCAUUCAGCCAAGUUUGACGUCAUAUGGCCAUAUCGUAGGCCGUCGUCGUAUGCUUGUGCCCACUAUUUGAAACGUAUGUUAAAAGGUAGUACGCCCCUCCUUUGUUAAUUGAACGUAAAAUUGCCAACAUCUCGUGAAAACGGUCUUUAUUUAUUUCAUACCCUACCAAUAUAAGUUCAUAGAGAAUAUUACAUGCCACUUAUACUAAUAAAACUAAUUCAAAUUGACAAACGAAAAACACAAAUAUAGACUAAAUACACAUGUUGGUCACUUGUCGUCAUUCGUUCUUAGAUGGAUAUUGACUGUAGUAGUUGGGAGCAACGUGUCUUAGGCAAUAUCGAUGGUGCGUGCGCUGCCAUAAGCUUCCCUCUCGAUCAAAUGCAACUAGUAUAUCGGUGCCCCGAUCUAAAAUAACACAGAUAUCAGGUUGGGGGCACACAUGCCUCCUUAACCUAGAGAGAAAGAAAUCUCAAUCAUCAGAUGACUCCCCCGGUGUUAUUGCAAAUGCAAUUGGAAGAAUUCUCCCACCGCCAUCCUGUGCCACUGCAAGCAAUAGCCGAUGAGUAUACCUACCAAACAUAAAGGUACCGUCAAUUUGUACCAAUGGCUUACAGUAUGGAAAUGCGUCUCGGCAUUGCUUAAAGGUCCAAAACAGGUGUUUGAACACUCGGCAUCCACGUAGCAAUCGGCCGUUGUAGUACGCAUGUUCCGUUUGAAGGUCUAUGAUGGCACCUGGGACGUACCUCUCUAGCACUUGACACCACUGCCAUAUUUUAUUAUAUGAGGCAUCCCACCCACUAUGCAUCUUCUCCAAUUCCUUUUGCUUAGCUAUCCAAGCCUUGCGGUAAGACGGCGUGUACCCUAUUUGGCUACAGAUAUUGGCAAUUAACACCGGCACUGAAGUCUUGGGAUCUGCUUUUACCGUGGGCAGUAUCAAGCUAGCUAACAUAGCUAAAUCCAUCUUGGGAUGAUCUUGUAAAACACCUAUAAUUGGAGUACAUUAAAUAAUGCAACAUUACAUAAUAAAAGUAUUAUUCAGAAACCGUCAAUAUUGUACCUACAGCACAUGUAUGUGGACCUUUGUACUUUUUAAUCUCCCACAACCCUGUCCUUUUCCUUAACGAGGCGUAGGUUUUCCAUGAACAUGUGCCGUCUUGUACCGCAUACUUCACCUCAAACUUAUCAAAUUUCAAUUUAACGACGUGGUAGUUAACGUCGUUUUUGAUGCUAUGUUGUUUCAAAGCACCAAUAAAACUAUCCUUGUUGGUAAACUGAUUGCCAACUUUAAAUUCACCCGAAUCUAGCCCCGAACUUGUACGAUCACGCAACAGGUGUGGUAGAUCUGGAAACUCUAACGUAUCAUCUGCAGACAGAUCGACAUUAUGUAUGUGGGCUAGAGGUGAGUAUACUCUGAAUCAUGGAUUUUCUUCUUCAAUUGAACUCCUUUCAGCAUCUUCAUGUUCUGUUGGAAUAGGCUCCGGUUCAGAAAAUAAGCCAACUUCUGCACCAUCGGGCCCGAGCUCUCGAGGUGGAUCCACAUUACAGUCAUCUUCUAACCCACAAUCAUCUGCAGCGUACGAGGUCCCCUCACCGGUUGACGUCGUAGGGUGUACAUCAUCCCUUCUUCUGGGCAUUUCAUAACGUCCCCAAUUGGAUGUAGAUUGCCACCCACUAGAACUUGAUGUCGUUCCCUAAUACGUAUUUCUAGCAUCAAACGUCGAGCCACUGACGUACAUAUCCCAUCCACCAACAGAGUGUCUUGCAGGGGAUGUGCAUUCGACACCACUAUCAAAUAUGGGCUAUUCUGUGUUUUGUAACCUGCUAACCCAGUGUCAACUAGUGGUCAUGUAUACAUCUCGAACACCAGUCGCAAGUACAUCAUUUGGCGGUGUAAAUUGUACAUAUAACUCAAUAUAAGGUGCUCCACUAGCAAAAUGAGUCUGCACAAUUGCCUCCAAGUUACGAGCACCUUUUAUGUCGAACGAGUCAUAUGUCACCGGAUCAACAGAAGAACAAAAUCAACACGUGAUAGACAGAACUUUCAUUGGUGUCGUUCCAAAAAUUUUACGCCUAAUUCUUUUACGAAGUUUUGUCAAAUCUAUGUUCUGGUUAAAAACCAGUCGCACCGUAUUCUCCGAUAAAAAAACAACACCAUUCUCGGUAUGGCAAACCUCACCAUCGUAGUAAAUAACAGCACUAAUAUGUUCACUCAUAUUUGAAACUCUAACCUUCUUAGCCUCUCUAAAUUGUUUCUGCUGUGACUUAUGCAUUUUGAGAACAUUUUUUGCCUCAUUUAUAGCCUCAGCCCAAACAUGCUAUUGUAGCAAAAGCGCAUCCACGUGGGCACGAUUUCAUAAAUUCUUCUCAUAAAGCUUUUUUUUGGUAAAUUUAAAAAAAUAGGCUUUUUUUGGUAAAUUGCCCUCAAUUGGGUGCAAAAAGUUCGUAGGGGCUUAAUUGAUUUUUUUCGAAAAAGUUCGACGAUCAAAAAUACCUUUAAGCCCUACUUUAACUAUUGAUAUGUCUUUUUUAAUUAAUUUUACAUUCGUGCAUAGUAUAGGCACACAAUGUACGAGGUGUUUCCACGUAUACAUGUAAAGUGCAUUUUGAUGCCACGAAGGAAUUAGAUAAAAAUGUGAUUGUUAAGUUAGUAAUGUCACCUUCUAGUAAUUGAAAAGAAUUAGAUGCAUUUAGCUAGUAGAGUGUAAUUAUAUUGUAAUUCUUUGUGCCUUGUUUAGUAAUAUAAAUUGUAAUUACACAUUUACAAAUUUUAAAUUGUUUAAAAAGUAUUAAUUAAUAUAAAUAUUUAUCAAUAAUAUCUGAGAAAAAAUUUUAAACAAGUGACAUAAAUUAAAAUCAAAUCAUGUUAUGUUAGUCCAAGAAAAUAACCGACAACAUGAUUACCGAUAAAAAAAAAUAAAAAUAAACAUUAUAUGCAACUUUAUUAUUGCUUUAGCAUUCCAUGUUUGUUGGGUUAUUCCUUUUCUAACAUUUAACAUCUACUUCUUAUCAUCAUCUAUUAGUUCUUGACCAAUUUCUUCAUUGUUGAUACAAGGUACAACAAUGGAGGGGAGUAAGGAGGAGGUAAGGUGGAGUGAGUGGUGGUUUUGUGGAGGCCGGUUCACUUAAAGAGGUGGAGAGCCGAAAAGGAACAAGAGGAUAGGCUGAUUGCUGAAAGUGGAGAUGGCUGCUCAGAGUAACUUUAAGGAUUGGAAAAUCGAUCCAUUCUUCAUCGUUGGAAAGGUAUUUAUAAGAGAGGUCCACUUGUCCAUUAGCAUGACAUGGCAGGAUAAAUGUUCAGUCCCACCAAAUGUGUAAAGGAUAUUCAUGAACAUAAAGGAUAUUCAUGAUGGGCCCCAUUAUGUUAUUCAUUUGAUCAAUACAAGGUUGUUAUGCCCAUGCAAGUCCUAAUGGACUCAAGGAUGUGUUCACACCAAAAAAGGGGGUGCCAAGCCUUUCUAAAGGGUUGGUGCUCCUUUGAUCUUAGUGGAUGGUCCAGUGAGACAUCUUCUUAGGAAAACUCAAUGAGAGGGUUAAUGUUGUCUAUACUAUUGACACGUGUCCAUGUGGCGGGGAUAUAACAUUCAUCAUCUACAUCAAAAUCUGAAUAUGCAUCAUUAAGAUUAUUGAAAUCAUUUUUUUAUUUGUAUCAUUAAGAUUAUCAAGAUCUUUUUUUUUUCAUGUACUAUUUAAAAGUAUUGAUAAUUCCAAUUCCACCUAUAAAUGGAAUUGUGAAGUAUACAACAAGUUAGAACGAUUGAACAUUGUUUUUUGGACUAUAUUGAUGUGGUUUGUUAAUAUGAGAAAUAUUUUUUUAGAACAACAAAUAUCCUCUCAACCACAUUUCAAAGCUUUGAAUAAAGAGUUUGCGAGCUGUGUUUGGUACUUGUGUCUAGCUCUAUUCUUUCAAAUGAUAUCAUACCCCGUGAUAUACUGCAAAAAACCUUUUGCAUUUGCAUAAUCAAUAUCUAUCACAUAAUAUUUCCUAAAAAACAUGUAACAAUUUAAAUGAUUUGUGAGAAAAAUAAAAUAACAGCAAGGUGAUGAUAAUAUUAAUGUAUUUAUGAAGUACAAUUUUGAUCUAUUUUCUCUCUCAAACAUCAUUCUUAGCAUUCUAGUAUUUGAGGCACAAAUCAACUUUAUAAUCCUUCAAUUAUAAUAGUUUUUAUAAAUCUAAUUUGCAGUUUACUAUGUGUUCAAUAAUAAACCAACUUUAUAACCUUUUUAUAAUAUUUCGAUUGCUAUUAUUUCAUGCAAUUUAGAUAAAUAUAUAUAUAAAUUUUAUAAUAUAACAUUUAUAAACAAUGUUUUUAUAAAGUGCUGAAUAGCUUUUAUGGUGCUUAUGUUAAAGUGCUCAAAUAUGUGUCACACAAUAAUAGUAUAAAAAUUAUAACACACGAUUUAUAAGCAUAAUUUGCUAGGUUAAAAUUUGCUUUAAAAAAAUACAGGAGUUAGGUGACAUGGCAAGGGUUUCUCCUACCUUAAUCAAUAAUCGAGGGUUUGAUCCUUACUCUAGGUAUGGAGUAGUUUUAAAACUUGUGGCCAGUAUCUACCCCCUUAAUGGGCUUACAGAAUGUGAAAGAUUAGUUAUCGGGCUUGCUUAGGUAGAUAGAUUGAGAAAUCAAAAAAAAAUUACACAAAAUAUUUUGACUUAUGUGUCUAAUAGCAAAGCAAUUUUGACCCGAUAAGAUAUAUAUAAUUAUACUUAAAAAAAUAUAAAAUAUAUGUCCUAAAAUUAAAAUAUAUUAUUAUAUUAAAAUAUUUUUUGUAAAUUAAAAUAUAUUAUUAUUGCAUUAAAAUAAUUUUUGUAAACUUGUAUAAAAAAUAAUUUCUUAAAUCAUGUACAUGUGUUUAAAAAACUAUAAGGUAAUUAGUAAUUUAUUGUAAUUACUCGCGUAAUUACCCCAACUCUCAACCCCUAAAAAUUGAAUAGCAUAAUUGAGGUGCUAAAAUUACAUUCAAUUUAGUGAACCCACAAAUCACAAUGGUUUUCUAAACACGCCACACAUUUGCAAUAGCAAGUAAUUGCACUCAAAUCUAAUAUUUGCAUGAAAUAUUUGAAUUUAUAUGUCUAAUAGCAAAGCAAUUUUGACCCAAUAAGAAAUAUAUAAUUAUAUUUUAAAAAUAUAAAAUAUAUGUUCUAAAAUUAAAAUACUUUAUUAUUAUAUUAAAAUAACUUUUAUAAAUUUGUAUAAAAAAUAAUUUCUUAAAUCAUGUACGUAUGUUUGAAAAACUAUAAGGUAAUUAGUAAUUUAUUGUAAUUACUCGCAUAAUUACCCAACUCUCAACUCUCUAAAAAUUAAAUAGUAUAAUUGAGGUGCUAUAAUUACAUUUAAUUUAAUGGACCCAUCAAUAACAAUAGUUAGUCAAACAUACUAUACUUUUAUAAUAGCAAUUAAUCACACUCAAAUCUAAUAAUUAAUUUAUAUUGAAAUCUUCAAAAUCAUAUACUUUGUGGUCCAAGUUAAACUGAUUUUUUUUUUCAAAACAAUUGCAAAGAAAAUUCAUGAAAUUAAGUUGUUUUCAAAUAAUUAAUUCACAUUGGGAUUUUCAAAUAAAAUGUCACAUUAAUAAUAUUUCAAUCAUUAAAAUAUUAUGUAAGACAUUUUGCUUAUACAAGAAAUAUGAAAAAUUCUAAAAUUUAAUCCAGUUUAAUCUGCUGAAGGAAAUGACUCUAACACUGACCUAAUUCAAUUAAGCCUCUGAAAUUAGCUUAACUUCAUAAAACUUAAUCCAGUUUAGUCAUUCUAAAGUCUCUAAUUUUGUUUAAAAGAGUUUUUAAAUAUAUAAAUGAUUUUAAAUUUGUAUGUUUUAAUAUGAAAUUCAUUAUAUUGUAGUAAGAUUUAAUGUGGCAUGUUUAAAAUUUUAAUUUAACUCAAAUAAUUUCAUUUAAUUUGGCUCGACUCAAAUUUUAUUUCACUUGAUUCGAUUUGAAAAAAAAUUCAAAUUGAAUUAGAAUGAUAAAAUGAGACUCGUCAACUCGAAAUUAUUUUACUCGAUUCGAUCCAACACUCACCCUUAGUAAUUGCAUCAUUGAUACUAAUAACAACAUAAAAAAUGUAUACUUAUCUUUUCUAAUCAAUAUGCAGGCACGAAAUGGAAAUUUCCAUGAGAAAGAAGUAUAUCGCGUAUGAAAAAGUAAGUUCCAUGACAUCGGCUGAAGCAAUAACAACAAAUGCAAAAAGACAUUGACUCCUAUGGAAAUCCAUCAGUUUGGAAACUAUAACGUAUAUGCUACGACUCGGUGUUUUUUGGUGUGUCACCCGUUAGACUUUCAAUUAUGUUGGUAAUAAAUAUAAUCUAUUUCAAUUAAAAAAAUGAGUAGAAUUUAGUAAUUCAUUAUGACCCAAAUUAUUGGUGAAGUUAAAAUUAAAAUUUUUUCGACAAAAACUUUCAGUACUUAGUACUUAUGUGUAAUUCAAAUCUUUCCAUUAUAUAUCCCAAAUAAGUUAAAAGGCAUGGCGUGGUGUCUACCUUUGCUUAUCCAUGUCAGACUUGCAAUUCUUUAUAUUAACCUUAAUUAUCGGCCUUCAUAAAAAGAUGUGUAAUUAUACAAGUCAAGAGCAAAAAAGAUAUGUUCUCUCAUAUCACUUGGAGUGAUGAGUCCUUUCUGAACCACUCCAUCACCUUCGUAUGUCAUACCAUAUUUAAAACAUUACUUUAAGCACCUAUCAAUGUGAAUCCAUUUGGUGAUGAAUCAAAGUAUGACGGUUAACACAUAAGGAGAGUUUGUGUAAGUCUAAAGAUUGUUUACACUACCAAUACAUGAGACUAUUUCUAUAGGCAUUUGAGUGAAAUACCAAAUGGAACUAUCAUAGCAGGUCAAGUUAUAUUUUAUAAUUUUUUCGAAACUUUUUAAAAAUUAUUCACAUUUUAUUUUUUAUAUUUGUAAUAAAUUUUAUAAUUUUUAUAACUUUUACAUUUUUAAAAUAUUCUAAUAACUUGACAAGCAACAUCAACAUACUUCCACAUGGCAUGUCACAUGUCAACUUGUCAUAGCUUCCGCCAACCACAUCAACAACCAAUAUUGAUAAAAUCAGUCAACAACCGUUUUCGUUAGCGAAAGGAGCCAAUUGAUUUUUUUCUCAUUGAAUGCUCGAUUGGGUCAAUUUUUUUAUUAUGAACUUGAUUGAUUUUUAACUUUUUACUAAGGUGUUUUUUACACUUUAACCUUAUAUUAAUAUUCAUUAUUUUAUUAAAAAACUUAUUUCUAAGUAAUUUUUCCGACCGAAUUGAUAUCGGAUUAACUCCAAUAAAAUAUAUUAUAUAAACAUAUUAAAAUAUAUCAAUAAAGAAAACACCAUUAAUUUGUUUGAAGUCUCGACUUUUUGAGUCUUAAUGGGUGAGAAAUUUCUUAUAUAGAAACUGAAGACGAUAUAUAAAGUAAAUGCCACAUUAAAAGCCCAAUUCUUUGGAAAAUAAAUUCCAUCACGACUGAACCAAAAAUUAAAAUAAAAUCUAUCAUAUUUAAUAUAUUAGUCCAAGAAAAUAAUCGAUAAUAUGAUUACUAAUAAAAAUAACAAGAAAAAUGAUUUAUGUUAGGUUAUAACAAUAUUUUUUUUUUUUUGAACAAUGAGAUUUUGACCUAGACUAUUCCUUGAAAAGGUGAAUACUCGACUAAUAGGCCACAACUUAAAAUUUUUUAAAUUAUAACCAUUUUUAUAAUACAUGAAUUAGGUUUAAAAUAGUAUAAAAUUUAUAAUAUAUACCAACUAUAUAAAAAAUUAUUUAUAAGGUGUCCAAUAACUUCCAAAACACUUCUUAUAAAUAAUAAAUAUUUUUAUCUUAAAAAGUUUUUUUUUUUAAAUAAGUCAUGGAAAAAAAUUAUAAUUGUUUUAUAAAUAAGUAUAUUUUUUUGUAUAACAUAUAGUAUGGACACAUAAAUAAGUUAUAUUUAAAUUUUUUGACCAUAACUUUUUUUUUUAUAAAUAAGUAUUUGCAUAAUAUAGUAUUUGCAUAAUAUAAUGUUUGCAUUAUUGAUACUAACAACAUAGAAAUUUCCAUGAAAAAGGCCUUGAAUCCUUUGAUGAAUUAAGUUCCAUGACAAGGACUGAAGCAAUGACGACAGCUGGCCCCUGCAACUAUUGCAACAAGACCUUGAAUCCUUUGAUGAGUUCCUUUAAAUUCAUCAGUUUGGAAACCAUAACAUAUAUGCUACCACUAAAUCCUUACCAGAUUAAACAUGGCCCCAUCCUUAACCAUUUCUGUUAUUCUAGGGGUACUGUGGGCCACCAUCCUUCUUUCCUUUGCUACAACUGUGACAGCAGCAUAUCCAUCGCCAUUGGAGUCCGAAGCCAUAGCUCUGCUAGAAAGCAGGUGGUGGAGUAACCAUAGCAGCAAUACUUCACAACGUUGCCAGUGGCCUGGUAUAACCUGCAACACUGCUGAAAGCAUCACCCAAAUUAACUUAUCUGAUGCGCCCAACAUUGAGGUUGGAGAUAGAUUUGGGAAACUGAAUUUCUCUUCAUUUCCAAAUCUUGUCCUUCUUGAUCUUAGUGAUCAUCAACUUAGAGGAAAAAUCCCGCAUCAGAUAGGUGAUCUAUCAGCAUUGAAGUACCUUGACUUGUCCAAUUGUGGUUUAUCUGGUGAGUUACCUCCUUCUCUAGGGAAGCUGACCCAAUUAGAAUUCCUCGACAUGUCCUAUAAUGGUAAUAUUAAUGGUUCCAUCCCUCCACAAUUGGGGAACCUAAAGAACCUCGUGACUUUAAACUUAAGGCAAUGUGGAAUUGUUGGUCCAAUCCCUUCUGCUUUGGGUCAAUUAAUCAAUCUCCAAUCUCUGAUCCUUUCGGGGAACCAAAUCAAUGGAUCUAUCCCAUUAGAAAUUGGAUAUUUGAGAAAUUUGACUUAUUUGAGUCUCUCCAACAAUAGAAUUGUUGGUCCAAUCCCUUCUGCUUUAGGUCAAUUAACCAGUCUCCAAUCUCUGAUCCUUUGGGGGAACCAAAUCAAUGGAUCUAUCCCAUUAGAAAUUGGAUAUUUGAGAAAUUUGACUUGUUUGGAUCUCUACAACAGUAGACUUGUCGAUUCAAUACCAAUUACUCUGUACCAAUUAACCAAUUUGGAAAUUUUGUACCUUGAUAAUAACCAACUUCAAGGUUCAAUCCCUUCUUGUGUUGGUAGUUUAUCAAAGAUGCAGUACUUAAGCCUUGAUUCUAAUCUAUUAAAAGGUCCUAUUCCCCAAGAAAUUUGUAAUCUAGCAAAUUUAACUUCAUUGUACCUCUCCCAAAACAAAUUGACAGGUUCAAUCCCUUCUUGUAUUGGUAGCUUAUCAAAGAUGCAGUACUUAUGACUUGAUUCUAAUCUAUUAAAAGGUCCUAUUCCCCAAGAAAUUUGUAAUCUAGCAAAUUUAACUUCAUUGUACCUCUCCCAAAACAAAUUGACUGGUUCAAUCCCUUCUUGUAUUGGUAGUUUAUCAAAGAUGCAGUACUCAAGCCUUACUUCUAAUCUAUUAAAAGGUCCUAUUCCCCAAGAAAUUUGUGAUCUAGCAAAUUUAACUUCGUUGUACCUCUCCCAAAAUAAAUUGACUGGUUCAAUCCCUUCUUGUAUUGGUAGUUUAUCAAAGUUGCAGUACUUAAGCCUUGCUUCUAAUCUAUUAAAAGGUUCUAUCCCAAAAGAAAUUGGCAAGCUUUUUGAUCUAUCAAAUCUAAACCUUAGCUUCAACCAACUCUCAGGUCCUAUCCCUAUCUUGUCUGCUACUCAUCUCUACAUUGUCGACGCUGGAAAUGGUUGUCAAAAGAUUUUUCCCGAUCCAUUUGAAGGCAAUAGUGAUUUAUCACCCUAUAUGUGUCCUACUCCAGUUACCAAAAAAGCCAACAGCAGCAGAAUUCCUUACCAUUUCAAAAUAUUCCUCCCUAUUGCGAUCUUAUUCACAAUCUCCAUUUUAGGAUGUUUGCUAUUUUCACGGUUUAAGCUCAAGAAUAACCAUGUCAACGUACAACCAACCAAGAAUGGGGAUUUGUGUUCCAUAUGGAACUAUGAUGGAAAGAUAGCAUACGAGGAUAUCGUUGCAGCAACAGAGGAUUUCGACUUCCGAUACUGUAUUGGAGUUGGUGGUUAUGGUAGUGUUUACAAAGCAGAACUCCCUUGUGGUAAAGUAGUUGCUUUGAAGAAACUUCAUCAUUUAGAAGCCGAAAAUCCAACUUUUGACAGGAGUUUCAGGAACGAGAUCAAGUUUCUAUCAGAAAUACGACAUCGAAACAUUGUGAAGCUUCACGGGUUUUGUCUACACCGACGAUCCAUGUUUUUGAUCUAUGAAUACAUGGAAAAAGGGAGUUUGUUCUGCAACCUAAGGGAUGAAGUGAAUGCUGUGGAAAUGGAUUGGACGAAAAGAGUAGAGAUCAUCAAAGGCAUAGCACAUGCUUUGUCUUACUUGCACCAUGAUUGCUGCCCUCCGAUAGUUCAUCGAGACAUAUCAAGUAACAAUGUUCUUUUAAACUCAAGUUUUGAGGCCUUUGUGGCCGACUUUGGAACAGCUAGAAUGUUGGAUCUUGAUUCAUCUUAUCGGACCAUUAUUGUCGGAACUUGUGGCUGCGUAGCUCCAGGUGGCGUUUUCUUUUUUUACUUGAUUUACUGACCUUUUCUCUGAACAUAUAAUUGAAUUUCUUCUUACUAAUUUGUGUAUGUAGAACUUGCUUAUACAAUGAUUGUCACCGAAAAAUGCGAUGUUUAUAGUUUUGGAGUGGUAGCACUGGAAAUAUUGAUGGGAAAGCAUCCUGAAG